rnacentral:tRNA from 1 species
AGAACCAUGAGCUCAGUGGUAGAGCACAUGCUUAGCAUGCAUGAGGUCCUGGGUUCAAUCCCCAGUAUCUCCA